CUAUGUGGUGUUUCGUGGGAAUUCAUUGCCAAUUGGGGUCCCUUCAGUAAGAUGCAAAGCAGCUUCAUUCUACUGUGACCACCAGACCUUAACAGCAGCUUGCUGGCCUGAGCAAUCAUGUUGUCUUACUCAUCCUACAUGCUCAUGGCAGUAGCUGCUUUGCUAGUGACUUGCCGUGCGCUGCCUAAAUGUCCAGAAGUUCCUGGGCUCCCUGGUGUCCCUGGACUGCCUGGAGGAGAUGAUCUGAAAGGACAAGCACGCCUACCAGGUCUCAUAGGACCCUCUGGAAGCCUGUUGGGGCCUCCUGGAAGAGAUAUUCUCCCUUAUCUGCAAGGUCUACCUGAUUCGCUGGACACUGAACUCCACAAUGUUUUAGUAAAUUUGAAACACCGACUUUGCAGACUUGAAGGCGUGCUUGCUUUGAAUGGGAAAAUAAGAGAAGUAGGAGAGAAAAUAUUUGCCAGCAAUGGGAAGAAAGUGGAUUUUGGAUCUGCAGUAAAAUCCUGUGAAGAGGCUGGAGGAACUAUUGCAAGUCCCAUGAAUGAAGAGGAGAAUAAAGCUAUUUUGAGCAUUGUACAACAGUAUAACCAAUAUGCUUACUUGGGCAUUAAAGAGGCUGAGUUGCAGCAGGUGACAUAUCAGAGAAAUCUAGUGACCUCCACUUGGAUCCUUCAUGCAUGAUUUAAGUCAGUGGAGCAAGGUGGCGAUAGCAUUUACAAGCAUUGAUCACACUGUCUACAGCUCAGCAAAAAUAGCCUCAGCCUCCUCUGAGAAAGGAAGACACCGGGUCCUGCAUGCUCUGUGCUCUUCCUGGUAUUCCCAGGCAUAAGGGAGCUGCUGGGGACAGUCUGAGAAUUCUUUGGGAGAGAAAAGCAAAUGCAGAAAGCACAGGACAAGGUGGUAGCAAGGUAGGAUGGAAACAAUAGCAGAACAGCACAAAAUCAACAUAAACAGAAAACAUAAGUGGGGUUGAGGCCACUUAAAUACAAACUGAGAUAAUAAGAAAAGAAUUUUCAAGGUUAUCUGCAGUGUGACUAGCACCAUGAAGGAAAAAAACAACAACUUUCAGGAGGAUAAGCAUACAAAGGAAGGGCUAACAGGCUGAGGGACGGAACACACACCCACUUUCAUAAACUGAAAUUCAACUCUUGUGCCUGUAUUUCUUGAAGCAGGUAAGAAAGCAGUGUUGACCAACUUUUGUCCUUAGUAUGUUUUGCAUUUACCUACUACCUACAUUGUGUAACAUAAUCUACUCUCAAAAUAUCCUUCACUUGUUUCACUAGCACUAUAUUAUAAAACCUCUUAAUGAUAGAUGUGGAAACAAGGAAAGUUGCCUCAAUACUCAAAAACUGUUCGUUCAUUAUCAGAUCCGUAUCCUUGAAUCGUGUUGAGCCUCUGUGAUAUGCUUCUCAAAGCAAGAUCAGAAAGUAGUUUAUAAAUCAUGAUAGUUUUAUAGAAUAUUCUAUUAGGCAAUCAAACAAGCGUAGAAAAAAAGUAAGUAUUUUUAAGUAUCUAUUUUAGCUUAAUUUCUAGCCUCUUAGUUUAGAAUUUUUCAAAUCUACAUCAGCUCUUCUCACCAGUCUAUUAUACAAAGAAAACUUCUGUCUCCCUGCUGGUUUCCCAGGCCAUAAGUCAGCAUGUGAAACCCAGUAAUGGAGGCCAAGCCUCAUCCUCUUCUCACACUCGCCUAACCUGCAGUUUCUUCCAGAUGCAGUUGAAGUGCUAGUUGUUCUCACCACAGAUGCAAAGGCCCAGGUUCUGCCAAUGACCUUUUCUAGGGCUCAUCUGGACCUCCCAGUCUCGCUGUAACAUCAGGAUGCUGGCCUGACACCA